rnacentral:lncRNA from 1 species
AAGGGUUGAGGAGUGCGGUGGCGCAGCACAGGACUGGCGGGUAGCUCCACCCACGGCCCUGGUGCUGGAUCCACUAGGUGAACCCAGCUGGGCUCCUCAGUCUGGUGGAGACUUGGAGAACUUUUAUAUCUAGCUGGAAGAUUGUAUAUUUACCAGUCAGCAUGAUGUGUCUAGCUCAGGGAUUGUAAAUGCACCAAUGAGCACUCUGUGUCUAGCUCAGUAAAACCAAACCAAGCUCAACUAAAUCUAAACCCCAGAUUCUUUACACUUGUCCAGUACUGUUCUUUUCUUUCACAGCCACAUACCUGUAGGGAGCUGCCUGCGUUUGCUGAAUCCCACUUAGCCAUCUGCUCAUUGAAUAUCCAGUUCCCAACUAGCUAUAAAAACAACAUUGCCAAAAUAAUUAUUACACCUGUCAGUUAAAAAAAAAAUUAGGCCUUCUCUUAUAAGACCUCUCAGCAAUGUUCCAUGUCUGAUCUCUUCCGAUUUGGAGAUAUCCACCCUGGGUUCUCA